GGCUGGGUUCCUGAAGGAAAUAAUCAGUUAGUCAAUAAAGAUUAUUAGUAUUAAGUGCCUACUAUGGGAUAGGCACUGUGCUAGGCACCAGAGUUACAAAAAGAGGGAAAAGACUGUCUUUGCUAACAAGGAGCUUACAAUCUAAAGAAGGAGACAACAAACAAAUAUAUACAAGUUCAGUAAAUUGGAGUUCCUCCUAGAACCUCUGGUCAAAGAAAUCUGCAUCCUUCUCCAGGCUGCACUGCUGAUUCCUUUCUACAGGACUUUUUCUACCAUGAUGGAACUAGGGCUCCCCACUUCACUAAGAAGUCACAGCAAUUUUGCUGAAUGGGCAGGAAAAAAGAUGUCACAGGUCAAUAUAGGCAUGGUGUUCCUGUAAGAUGCUCGUAAUUCAGCCGAGUCUAGUUUCUGCCAGGAGUGAGAUGCUGAUCCUUUAGAACCAAGAAGAAUUAAAAAUCAAAUUGAAAUGCUUUUGUAGGACAAAGGUAAAGAUGGCAACCAUAGAGAACAUUCAUCCAGUAUUACUGUAUGUGGGUUCUGUUCUAGGUGCUAGCUAUAGAGCAGUGGAAUAGCAAAAGAAACAAAGGUAUCAGUCUCUGCUUUAGAAGAGUUUAUGGUCUUUUUGGAGAGAUUACACACACUAUUAUUAACAAUGAAUUCAGUAAUUAACUUUUCAGGCUUCACGUAAACUCUGAGGGAGACUGGCUGGACACUGAUCUAAUGCUGAAUAACUGUUUCUCAGGGUUCGAAUGCAUGUAGACCAGAUGAUGUCCAAAAAAGUCCAGGGGGCUUUGGAACUAAUUCAAGGACAGGAUUCAAGGAGUAGUGGUUAAUAAACCCUAAGGGAAAGUCUCUAUCUAGUGAAUAUUUUUCUCAUUUACUAGGAUGAUGCAUUUUUCAAAUUUGUAGAUGACCAGAAGCUAGAAAAGAUAGUUUGACAAGAUAGACUGAUAAAUUUUCUCUAAUGUAACUAGGUCCUCCUGGAAAGUAAGUUCAUGUAUGUGCAUUCUGUGGGCCAGCACACAUUCAGAGCCAUAGCUUAAGGACCCCUACUGAUGUGUUUACUUUUACCAAUCAGCCAAAGGCACAAUUAAAAACAAUAGAACACUUAUUCAAAUACCAUAGCAAAUAAAGUAACAAGUGAAUAUUUUUCCAAGCACAGCUGGGGCAUCCCCUCCCACAGCCUAUUAUGUCACUAAUGGAGAAAGGCCAUAUUGUCAGAGAAUACUCAUGAUUGGGGAACAUGUGGGAAGUGUGUCCAGGGCACACACACACUCAAAAAAUAUUCAACUCUAGGGCUAUUUAAACUUUUGAUUCUGCAGGCUUGCCAAUGACUCUGCUGCCAUUUCAUUGCUUUUUGCUCUUGUCUAUUGGGUAUUGUGUCUCUGCCCUCUACUGGGCAUGUUGUUUCUGCUUGCCACAUCAACUUUAAUGGAUGCUGUAUUUCCAUUGUCUUCUGGUGACUGAAUUAUUGAGUAAUCUGCUGGGCUUCCUCUAGUUUCUAUGAGGUUAGCUUCUCUGCUGCAAUAGACUGUGAGGUAGUAGCUAGGAGCCCUCUCUUCAGAAUGGAGAUUCAUGGCUCAUUUAAUCUAGAUGGUAGCCUGUGGCCCACCAUACCCAGUGAUGUAGAAGUCAAUAGGGUAGCAGAAUACCUCAAUCAAAAAAUGGUCAAGAGAUAUGAACAGGCAGUUCUCAGAGGAAGAAAUUAAAACUAUCCAUACACAUAUGAAAAAAAUGCAUCAUAUCACUAUUGAUGAGAGAAAUGCAAAUUCAAAUGACUGACUAACAUGGUCAAAAAGGAUGAUAAAUAAAUUGUGGUUUAUAAAUAAAAUGGAAUAUUAU